UACGAAGGGGGCUAGCGUUGUUCGGAAUUACUGGGCGUAAAGCGCGCGCAGGCGGUCUUCCAAGUCAGUGGUGAAAGCCCGGAGCUCAACUCCGGAAUUGCCAUUGAAACCGUUAGACUUGAGGAUGAGAGAGGUGAGUGGAAUUCCCAGUGUAGAGGUGAAAUUCGUAGAUAUUGGGAAGAACACCGGUGGCGAAGGCGGCUCACUGGCUCAUUACUGACGCUCAGGCGCGAUAGCGUGGGGAUCAAACAGG
rnacentral:rRNA from 1 species